AAUCGAUAAUCUAGCAUUUGCCUGUGUUUAUUUGUUACUGGUGGCUUACUGGUUGUAUUCGAAGCGGACAAACCCCUUUGGAGUGUAUCAGGGGUUGGGGUUCCGAAAUUGUGAGUGCGCGGGUCGAGGUGAGUCGACUUGUGCCAUCCCGCCCAGAGCAUGCGAGUGUUUGGGGUGCAUGUGUAAAAAUUGCCAAAAUUGUAGCAUGUGUAAAAAUUGCCAAAAUUGUCAAAAUUGCCAUAAAUGCUAUAAUUGCCAUUGUCUGAGACUGCCACAUCGACACGCGUUGAAGUCUAGUCACUACAGUCUUUUGUAUCCUCCUCCUCCUCCCUUUGUGUACGUUCCAUCCUACUACACUUACGCCUGCACCUAUUGCCGUCCCAAGUACCAAAUGAGAAACAGAUAUCCGUACUCCUACUACGUACUGACCGUCUUGCGACCGAAAUACGAGCCUUACAUCGGUCCGUGCGUAAGACCGCGGCGGGACUACACCUGGCCGAGGUAUUCUUGCGCGUGGUUCUACACCCCUUCGUGUGCAGAUCUCCCGGCGACACCCUCCUUUCCCUGCCGCUACACCCCUGCCCUCCCCCUGUUCUCCUCCGUGUAUCCCCUCACCGUUCCUUUCUUAGUCUCCCCACUGUGGCCCGUUGCCCCAGGCUGCAUCCACUGUCUGAGGUAAGUAGAGAGAGAGAGAGUUCAGAGAGAAAAAGAGGGUGGAAGGAAGGAGAGAAAGAAUGAUGAAGGAAAAACAAAAAGAACGGAUGAAAGGAUUUAGGUAGAUUACUCCGAAAUGAGGAUGUGAAGAUACAUGCAGAAAUAUGCCAAAAUGAUAAUCCUGAUAACUAGCGCAUAUUGUCAAAUAUGGAAAAAUAAUUAUUUGACAGAUCUGCAUGUGAACUGAGGUAACUGAGAAAAAGAGGGUGGAAGGAAGGAGAGAAAGAAGGAUGGAGAAGGAAAAACAAAAAGAAAGGAUGAAGAAUUUAGGUAGAUUACUCCGAAAUGAGGAUGUGAAGAUACAUGCAGAAAUAUGCCAAAAUGAUAAUCCUGAUAACUAGCGCAUAUUGUCAAAUAUGGAAAAAUAAUUAUUUGACAGAUCUGCAUGUGAACUGAGGUAACUGAGAAAAAGAGGGUGGAAGGAAGGAGAGAAAGAAGGAUGGAGAAGGAAAAACAAAAAGAAAGGAUGAAGAAUUAGGUAGAUUACUCCGAAAUGAGGAUGUGAAGAUACAUGCAGAAAUAUGCCAAAAUGAUAAUCCUGAUAACUAGCGCAUAUUGUCAAAUAUGGAAAAAUAAUUAUUUGACAGAUCUGCAUGUGAACUGAGGUAACUGAGAAAAAGAGGGUGGAAGGAAGGAGAGAAAGAAGGAUGGA